ACAAGUAGUCAGAGCCCGUUAAUGGGUGAUGGCGUGCCUUUUGUAGAAUGAACCGGCGAGUUACGAUUUGAUGCAAGGUUAAGCAGUAAAUGUGGAGCCGUAGCGAAAGCGAGUCUGAAUAGGGCGUUUAGUAUUUGGUCGUAGACCCGAAACCAGGUGAUCUACCCUUGGUCAGGUUGAAGUUCAGGUAACACUGAAUGGAGGACCGAACCGACUUACGUUGAAAAGUGAGCGGAUGAACUGAGGGUAGCGGAGAAAUUCCAAUCGAACCUGGAGAUAGCUGGUUCUCUCCGAAAUAGCUUUAGGGCUAGCCUCAAGUGAUGAUUAUUGGAGGUAGAGCACUGUUUGGACGAGGGGCCCCUCUCGGGUUACCGAAUUCAGACAAACUCCGAAUGCCAAUUAAUUUAACUUGGGAGUCAGAACAUGGGUGAUAAGGUCCGUGUUCGAAAGGGAAACAGCCCAGACCACCAGCUAAGGUCCCAAAAUAUAUGUUAAGUGGAAAAGGAUGUGGCGUUGCCCAGACAACUAGGAUGUUGGCUUAGAAGCAGCCAUCAUUUAAAGAGUGCGUAAUAGCUCACUAGUCGAGUGACACUGCGCCGAAAAUGUACCGGGGCUAAACAUAUUACCGAAGCUGUGGAUUGUCCUUUGGACAAUGGUAGGAGAGCGUUCUAAGGGCGUUGAAGCAUGAUCGUAAGGACAUGUGGAGCGCUUAGAAGUGAGAAUGCCGGUGUGAGUAGCGAAAGACGGGUGAGAAUCCCGUCCACCGAUUGACUAAGGUUUCCAGAGGAAGGCUCGUCCGCUCUGGGUUAGUCGGGUCCUAAGCUGAGGCCGACAGGCGUAGGCGAUGGAUAACAGGUUGAUAUUCCUGUACCACCUAUAAUCGUUUUAAUCGAUGGGGGGACGCAGUAGGAUAGGCGAAGCGUGCGAUUGGAUUGCACGUCUAAGCAGUAAGGCUGAGUAUUAGGCAAAUCCGGUACUCGUUAAGGCUGAGCUGUGAUGGGGAGAAGACAUUGUGUCUUCGAGUCGUUGAUUUCACACUGCCGAGAAAAGCCUCUAGAUAGAAAAUAGGUGCCCGUACCGCAAACCGACACAGGUAGUCAAGAUGAGAAUUCUAAGGUGAGCGAGCGAACUCUCGUUAAGGAACUCGGCAAAAUGACCCCGUAACUUCGGGAGAAGGGGUGCUCUUUAGGGUUAACGCCCAGAAGAGCCGCAGUGAAUAGGCCCAAGCGACUGUUUAUCAAAAACACAGGUCUCUGCUAAACCGUAAGGUGAUGUAUAGGGGCUGACGCCUGCCCGGUGCUGGAAGGUUAAGAGGAGUGGUUAGCUUCUGCGAAGCUACGAAUCGAAGCCCCAGUAAACGGCGGCCGUAACUAUAACGGUCCUAAGGUAGCGAAAUUCCUUGUCGGGUAAGUUCCGACCCGCACGAAAGGCGUAACGAUUUGGGCACUGUCUCAACGAGAGACUCGGUGAAAUCAUAGUACCUGUGAAGAUGCAGGUUACCCGCGACAGGACGGAAAGACCCCGUGGAGCUUUACUGUAGCCUGAUAUUGAAAUUCGGCACAGCUUGUACAGGAUAGGUAGGAGCCUUUGAAACGUGAGCGCUAGCUUACGUGGAGGCGCUGGUGGGAUACUACCCUAGCUGUGUUGGCUUUCUAACCCGCACCACUUAUCGUGGUGGGAGACAGUGUCAGGCGGGCAGUUUGACUGGGGCGGUCGCCUCCUAAAAGGUAACGGAGGCGCUCAAAGGUUCCCUCAGAAUGGUUGGAAAUCAUUCAUAGAGUGUAAAGGCAUAAGGGAGCUUGACUGCGAGACCUACAAGUCGAGCAGGGUCGAAAGACGGACUUAGUGAUCCGGUGGUUCCGCAUGGAAGGGCCAUCGCUCAACGGAUAAAAGCUACCCCGGGGAUAACAGGCUUAUCUCCCCCAAGAGUUCACAUCGACGGGGAGGUUUGGCACCUCGAUGUCGGCUCAUCGCAUCCUGGGGCUGUAGUCGGUCCCAAGGGUUGGGCUGUUCGCCCAUUAAAGCGGUACGCGAGCUGGGUUCAGAACGUCGUGAGACAGUUCGGUCCCUAUCCGUCGUGGGCGUAGGAAAUUUGAGAGGAGCUGUCCUUAGUACGAGAGGACCGGGAUGGACAUACCUCUGGUGUACCAGUUGUCGUGCCAACGGCAUAGCUGGGUAGCUAUGUGUGGACGGGAUAAGUGCUGAAAGCAUCUAAGCAUGAAGCCCCCCUCAAGAUGAGAUUUCCCAACUUCGGUUAUAAGAUCCCUCAAAGAUGAUGAGGUUAAUAGGUUCGAGGUGGAAGCAUGGUGACAUGUGGAGCUGACGAAUACUAAUCGAUCGAAGACUUAAUCAA
rnacentral:rRNA from 1 species